CUACGGAGGGUGCAAGCGUUGUUCGGAAUUAUUGGGCGUAAAGCGCGUGUAGGCGGUCUGUUAAGUCUGGUGUGAAAGCCCUGGGCUCAACCCAGGAAGUCCAUUGGAUACUGGCAGACUUGAGUAUGGGAGAGGAAAGCGGAAUUCCGAGUGUAGGAGUGAAAUCCGUAGAUAUUCUGAGGAACACCAGUGGCGAAGGCGGCUUUCUGGACCAAUUCUGACGCUGAGACGCGAAAGCGUGGGGAGCAAACAGGAUUAGAAACCCUAGUAGUCC
rnacentral:rRNA from 1 species